rnacentral:rRNA from 1 species
GAUGAACGCUGGCGGCGUGCCUAAUACAUGCAAGUCGAGCGAACAGACGAGGAGCUUGCUCCUCUGACGUUAGCGGCGGACGGGUGAGUAACACGUGGAUAACCUACCUAUAAGACUGGGAUAACUUCGGGAAACCGGAGCUAAUACCGGAUAACAUGUUGAACCGCAUGGUUCAACAGGGAAAGACGGUCUUGCUGUCACUUAUAGAUGGAUCCGCGCCGCAUUAGCUAGUUGGUAAGGUAACGGCUUACCAAGGCAACGAUGCGUAGCCGACCUGAGAGGGUGAUCGGCCACACUGGAACUGAGACACGGUCCAGACUCCUACGGGAGGCAGCAGUAGGGAAGCGUCCGCAAUGGGCGAAAGCCUGACGGAGCAACGCCGCGUGAGUGAUGAAGGUCUUCGGAUCGUUAAACUCUGUUAUUAGGGAAGAACAAAUGUGUAAGUAACUAUGCACGUCUUGACGGUACCUAAUCAGAAAGCCACGGCUAACUACGUG